CCUACGGGAGGCAGCAGUGGGGAAUAUUGGGCAAUGGGCGCAAGCCUGACCCAGCAACGCAGCGUGAAGGAUGAAGGCCUUCGGGUUGUAAACUUCUUUUCUCAGGGACGAAGCAUGUGACGGUACCUGAGGUAUAAGCCACCGCUAACUACGUGGCAGGAGCCGCGGUAAUACGUAGGUGGCAAGAGUUAUCCGGAUUUGCUGGGUGUAAAGGGCGUGUAGGCGGGAUAGUAAGUCAGAUGUGAAAACCAGGGGCUCAAACUGUGGACUGCAUUUGAUACUGGUUUUCUUGAGUACUGUAGAGGUAGGCGGAAUUCCUAGUGUAGCGGUGAAAUGCGUAGAUAUUAGGAAGAACACCAGUGGCGAAGGCAGCUUACUGGACAGCAACUGACGCUGAGGCGCGAAAGCGUGGGGAGCAAACAGGAUUAGAUACCCCAGUAGUC
rnacentral:rRNA from 1 species